ensembl:lncRNA
GACAGGGUCCACGUCAUGUCUGUCUGGUUUCAAGGUAUAAUAUUGUCCAUCAUGUACCCUGCAUUGAGGCAAAUUGAAGGAGUAGUCUAGCAUCUGCAACUGAAAUUUAGGGAUGGCACUGACAAAUACCUGUAAAAACUGAAAAUUCCUUAUCAGACUUGCAAGGCAGUGACAGAGUCCAGUGGUACAAAGGGUGGGUAUAGUUAGUGAUGGGUCACAUAGUUCAGCAGGGUUACAGUUGAUGGAAAGAAACUGUUCCUGAGCCUGCUGGUGUGGGAACGAAGAGACCUGUACCGCUUGCCUGAUGGUAGGAGGGCAAACAGUGUGUGGCAUGGAUGUGACAUUUCCCUGAUUAUGCUUCGCGCCCUGUGGAGCUUAAGCUGGAAGUCUAUGAUAGCUGGGUACCAGGGAUGUGCUGGACAGUUUUUACCACCCAUUGCCGUCAGAAAGCUCUCGAUUUUUCAGCGGUUAAAGUACACAAGGAUCUUGGGAGACAGGCGGGCCUUCUCCAGCCUCCUCAAAAAGUACUGGUGCUGCAGCGCCUUUUGACCAGGGCUGAGUUGUUGAGCGACCAGGAAAGGUCUUCUGAGAUGUGGACACCCAGGAAUUUGAAAAAUGAGAUAAAUUAGUUGUGCUUUAUUUCACCAGGUUCCACAUUGCCUCAAACAAAUGUAAACAAAUAUAUCCUCUCUGAGGGGCUGAUGGCUCUUUUCUUCAUGAAAGUAAUUGGGCUACUAGCUUGACCGUCAUGAAGGAGAAGACACAAUUCUUAAAGUAAGUACGAUACAAUAUUCCUUCAGCCAUCAUUGAGUUUAUAUGUUUUCCCAUGUUCUAUGUUUUUAAUUUGAACAAACAUGAAAAGAAACCGACAGAGAAUGAAAAUCAUCUGCAUGCUUAGAAAGAAACUAAGGCACACACGCACACAGUAUAUCUGUGUGAAUCUACACCACACGGACAUCAGACAAUGAUGAUAGUUGAUGUCUCCUCUUGGUGUAAUCUAUAUAUCCAACCAUCACAAUUGGUGAUAUCGAACCGUAGGGAGGAAAUGAUCAAGUGGAUACUUCAACAGUUGAAGAAACAACCUACUCAGUUGUUCGUGUUUGAUAACCCACUGAAAAUGAUCAUAGUCACAGUUUAUAAAAUUUACUAUUUAGGUCCUAAACAUUUCAUACAUGUAAACUUGUGUUUUCGAAUGGCGUCUAUCUGCCUCUCUUUUAGUAGAUUUUCUGAGGCUUAUGCCAGAGUGCGUAAGCGGAGCCGGCCAAGAAGAGCGAAUGUCUCUCACUGAGUGAGUGAUGUUGUGGAAAUUCUGAAACCUGAUGCAUUCUUACUGUUUAAAGGACUGAGUCCCAUUGUUUGGAUGUGAGAAUGAAUGAGUUACUAGUUAGAGAUGCUGAGAGGGAUUUGGUAUUUGUCCUAGGGGGGCAUCCUUGACCGGCACCAGCAGAUUGUAGGGUUAAUCGUAAAUCUGCCCAUCUGUAUAAAUCCCUUUAGUGUCUCUGUUGUUUGUCCAGGUGCUGUGAGUCUGCUCCUAGAGUUGAUGAG